GAUGAACGCUGGCGGCGUGCCUAAUACAUGCAAGUCGAGCGAACGGACGAGAAGCUUGCUUCUCUGAUGUUAGCGGCGGACGGGUGAGUAACACGUGGAUAACCUACCUAUAAGACUGGGAUAACUUCGGGAAACCGUAGCUAAUACCGGAUAAUAUUUUGAACCGCUUGGUUCAAAAGUGAAAGACGGUCUUGCUGUCACUUAUAGAUGGAUCCGCGCUGCAUUAGCUAGUUGGUAAGGUAACGGCUUACCAAGGCAACGAUGCAUAGCCGACCUGAGAGGGUGAUCGGCCACACUGGAACUGAGACACGGUCCAGACUCCUACGGGAGGCAGCAGUAGGGAAUCUUCCGCAAGAGGCGAAAGCCUGACGGAGCAACGCCGCGUGAGUGAUGAAGGUCUUCGGAUCGUAAAACUCUGUUAUUAGGGAAGAACAUAUGUGUAAGUAACUGUGCACAUCUUGACGGUACCUAAUCAGAAAGCCACGGCUAGCUACGUGC
rnacentral:rRNA from 1 species